rnacentral:lncRNA from 1 species
GGGUGAAGCACAGACAACCGUAAGCCUGAGAAAAAAUGCAAUCAGAAGCAAUUAAUUUGACUGAAUCAAUAAUUCCACAGACAGCAAAUUUGUAGAGUAUAAUGGAGCAUCCGUACCAUAUCUGCACAACAAGAGCUUUUAUUACACUGGCAAACCCCCCAUGUGAAACCCGAACGUUGGUUUCAAGCUUUAGAUAAAUCGCACUAAAAAAAAGAGCCAUCCGUAACGCACAAGUUCAUUGUAUUUGAAAGCAAGAAACAUGUUGGUAGCUGAAAACAAAAGAAAAGCAGACCAGCAGCACCGCUGUGUCAACCAACAACAAACGACUCGUACAUUAAUAUUUGGACAUGUUGAUUCGCAACUUCUAAACUACUGCGAACAUACAAGUUGAGUGGCGUGGUGAUGUUGAGGAUUUUUGGUCUCAAAAUACACACUUUUAACUUGCAAAAGGAGUCCUGACAGCCCACCUGCAGCAAUGGCGUGAAUGAGCGAGCCCACUUCAUUUAACAUGCCAAGAGACUCCACCUAAGUGCAAACCAACUGCUUACUUUAUUCUUACUUGUAUUUCUCUCUAUGCUAUUCUCUUCUUUCACUUUCAC